AUGGGGCUUGUUUACACAGCUCAUUAUUCGCUCUUUGCAGUUGCUAUAGCAACCACCAGGGGUCAGUUUAUAGAAGGAGAGGAAGUUCACUUUUGGGGAGUUAACCUUCCAGCUCCUGUGCAAAGCGCAGCUGAAAACAAAAGCCCCAGACACCCAUGGAGGAAACACAUCGAAAAGCUUCCUAUGAACGGAGAGGCAGCACCCCAUCAGAGCAGCGCACCCAUCUCGAGAUCCACACCCACCAGAGAGGAGCGGCGCUGCUUCUGUAGAGCUUGCAGGGAAGACCCCCAGGACGCCUGGCCAGUGAAGAGUGUCCAGCACUAACCUGCUUAGCUAACCCGAUUCAGCAAACAAAUAAUACAGAUGCCCAGUUAAAUCUGACCUGCAGAAAAACAAGGAAUUUUUGUGUAAGUCUUCCAUGUAGCAUCUGGACCAUAUAUACAGUAAGUCUAUAGAACCUAACAUAAGCCAGUCCUUGCCCUCCUCCUCACUGGCCACCAUCACCUCCAAAAGAGUUUAGUAGAUAAGUUCUCUUUUAUAAGCAAAUAAAGUGCCAGCUUACUGUUCAGGAUGAUCUAGGCCUUGGACUAUCAGGCUGAUCAUGAAAAAAAAAUGAAAGGGAGUGAUUUACAUAUAUGCAAGUCAUAAACCAGAGGCUAGGCUAGCCACAGACAGCCACUCAUCUUCCCUCAGAUCUAAACACCAGCAUGAGUUACUUGAUUGGUAAAUGCAAUAGAACUCAUUUUGUGAAUUAUCUAAAAUCCAUAAAGGGUAAUGAUUUCUAUUUGUUUGAAAGGAAAAACAUUUUUGCUGUGUAUGUGUUUAAAGGAAUAGACCAAAUUUGUUUCUGAGCGCUACGCAUGUACAGGGGAGACAGUGAUAUUUGCAUUUAUCAAAGUCACACCCUUCCCAGCAUUUCUUUUGCUAAGGUUUUACCGCUUCUUCAUCAAGAAGGCUGGCUCAGUGAAAGUUUUACUGAAUUUUGUAGAAAUUCUGGAAAACCUAGACCAUUAGUUGUAAUGCUGUGCUGACCCUAAAUCCACGAACCCAAAACUUAAGGCAAAAAAAAAAAAAAAAAAAAAAAUUAAGAAGCAUAAACUUUUAUGAAAACAAAGCAAAUAGCAGCUGUAGUAUAUUCCAUCAGGUCCCCACCAACUCAGACUGCAGACUCCCACAGCUCUGAUCCAAAACAGGGAAUUAAAGGAAAACUGUCAAGCUAAACAUUAUCAACAAUAAAAAUAUUCUCACCUGUUGCUAACUCUAAAAAUCUCAAUAUAGAUUUCACAGAGAAAAAAAAAGUGUUAGUUUUAGAAGCUGAUCCUUCUAAAGCCCAGAACAGUGAGUUCUAAUUUUGUCUCUUCAAUGUCUGGUUGUGACCUCCGUGGAAGUCUGUGGACAGUUCUGACUUGGUCUCCCUGUGGGCAAAAUGCAGAUACUGAAUUAUACGUGUUCUUUGCCUAAUCAAGAGUGUAUAAUAAGAAUGUCUAUACCUAUACUCUGAGCUCUUCAGACAAAAGGCAGGAAGUAGAAAUGUGAUUAUUUGUGCUGUUCACUUUUUAAACAAGCAACUUGAUUUAGAAGUUGAAAUCAGUUUAGUUGUUUGGUUUGGUUUGAUUUAAAGCACUUUGAAAUAACUUCAUUUUGGAAACCCUAUUUUCAUUUAUUUAAACCAAUAGUCCUCUGCUUUUUUUCUUAAUCAUUUGUUAAUAAACCCUACAUUUGAAGCUCAAGCAUUCAGACAGUGUGUCUUUAACACCAUUCAACAGCUGUUAAAUGGGAUAAUCACCUGUUUAUCCUCAUGUCACUAAUUCAAAUGCUAAUUGCACUCUAGGUUUGGUUUAUUCCCUCACUGGAGCCAGACCAGGUGUGCAGCACUCUGGAAGCAUGCUGCAAUGUCAUGGAACUCCAGAGAUUGAUUAUAUUUUCAGUGGCACAGAUAAAACAGGGCAACACACAUGCACACACUCUCACACACAUGCACCCUUGCACAAAAAUGAAUGAACAUGUUGCCCAUAACUGUGAAAAUUAGAAAUGACCUAAAUGUCAGAUCACAGGGAAAUAAACCAAAGGAAACAACCAUGGCAUGUAGUAUUAUGCAAUCAUUAAAAGAAUGUUUAUGCAUAUGGUUAAAUAACAUGUAAAAAAUAGCUAUGUUGAGUGAAAAAGGUAGUAUGUAAAACUAUUGUAUGUAAACAAUAUGGAAAAAUAUUUUGCACAGAAAAAGACCAAAAAUACAAUAUGCUGGCAACUAAAAUAAAUCCAUUUUUAGAGUACUGAUUAAAAGCAAGGACAAUCCUAGGAGCCUGGGAUACAUGAGAAGUUCCUGCUUUUUACAUUCUGGAAGAGAAAGACAAAAUGUAGGUACAGAACUCAUCAAUAAGAGAUAUUUGUAGAGUGAUGAUCUUAAGAAGAAAAUUUACAAAGGGCUAUGGGGUAAAGGGUCUGCUUUAGUUUGGGUGCUGAGGGAAGAACUCUCACAGGAAAUGCAAACAAUGAGAAGCCCCAAGAUAGGAGUGGGCUUGGCAUGGUGGAGGAAUGGGCACAGGUUGGAGUGCAGUGAGCUGGGAGAGUGUGGUAGAAGGUGUGUUUGGAGAGGCCCCGGGCAGAAGCAAGGGACAGGUGCAAGGGUGGAGGGAGAGACCAGAGUACCCCGCUGGGACCAGGUGUGCGGGAUGGAGCAUGGGCUAGGGUGGCAACCGUGGAGAUGGAUUCAGGACAUUUUUUGAGGGUAGAACUGGCAAGAAUUGCUGAUGAACCAGAUUUGGGGUGGAGGAGAGAUGGGAAUACUGAAUCAAAAGAGAAGAAUCUCAUAGGACUCCUAGAUUUUUGGCCUCAACAACUGAAUCUAUUGUAGUUCCACUCAUCAAGCCGAAUAGGACUCGUGUAGGAACAGGUUUGUGGUGGAAACUUUUUUUAUUAUACUUUAAGUUCUAGGGUACAUGUGCACAAUGUGCAGGUUUGAUACAUAGGUAUACAUGUGCCAUGUUGGUGUGCUGCACCCAUCAACUCAUCAUUUACAUUAGGCAUUUCUCCUAACGCUAUCCCUCCCCCAGUCCCCACCCACCGAACAGGCCCCGGUGUGUGAUGUUCCCUGCCCUGUGUCCAUGUGUUCUCAUUGUUCAAUUCCCACCUAUGAGUGAGAACAUGCAGUGUGUGGUGGAAAAUUAAGAGUUCUGUUUAGGCCAUUUUAUGUUUGAAAUGCCUGUUAGAUAUCCCAGUGAGGAUGUCAAGCAAGGAGUCAAGAGGCUCUGAAGUCUGCCUAUCAGGGAAGCAUCAGGGCUGGAAAUAUUUUGGAAGUUAUUUGCAUGUUGAUGGCUUUUAAAGCAAGGGAUAGUGUGGAACAACAUAGAGAGACCACAUAGAGAAGAAAGGCAUCCCACAACGGAACUAGAGACUGGGGUCAGGAGAAAGAGCCAGUAAAGAAAUGACAGCAGACACAGUGGCUCACACCUGUAAUCCCAGUGCUUUGGGAGGCUGAGGCAUGAGGAUCACUAGAGAUCGGGAGUUGAAGACCACCCUGGGCAACAUAGCAAGAUCCUGUCUCUACACAGAAUUUUUUUUAAUUAGCACGACAUGAUGGCAUGUGCCUGGAAUUCUAGCUACUUGAGAGGCUAAAGUGGGAGAAUCAUUUGAGCCCAGAUGGUUGAGACUGCAGUGAGCCAAGAUCACACCACUGAACUCCAACCUGGAUAACAGAGUGAAAAUCUGUCUCUAAAAGAAAAAAGAGAAAGAUAAAGAGAGAGAAAAAGGAAGGGAGAGAGAGA
rnacentral:lncRNA from 1 species